UUGGCUCUUGUGUGAGUGGAUGGUGACACCAGGCCAGCUGGGGAUUCUUCCCAGGCUGGGCUCACAGGCUGGGGCUGGGCACACGGAGCAGCUGCGGGAAAAGGAUCUGGACACCAGCCCCCCAGCGUGUCACCGGCAGGAAGGUGAGGUGGGAACAGAGUGACGUCCAUGCAUGUUCAGAGACAAGGUUUCCCUACGUUGCCCAGACUGGUCUUGAACUCCUAGCCUCAAGCAGUCCUUCUGCCUCAGCCUCCCAAUGUGCUGGGAUUACAGGCAUGAGCCACUGCACUUGACCAAGGGGUUUGAUGUUUUGGGGAGAAAGAACAGCCGUGAAGGAUUCUGUGAUGCAGGAGAAGGUGGGAGGCCUCAGGACAGAAUCAGCAGGUCACCAUGCUUUCCUGCGUCAUCCACCUGUGGGCCUCUAAUGUGUUUCUAUGAAGUUUGCAUUAAAGUUUCAGCCACUAUUUUUCAGAAACAUGGUCAACCUCUCCUUCCCUCCUCUAUCUGCUGAUAGAGUUCUACAGAAAACAAGGGAAUGACUUGAGGAGGUGAGGGGGAUUCUGAAGGUUGUUGGUGGAUUCCUAGAAUGUAGCCCGCAGAACUGUGCCUGGAAGUAGGACUAAGCCAGUGGAUCACAAACAUCCUGGAGAGCAGUGACUCUGUGAUUCCAUCACAAGAAUAUGAAGGACUGAGAAGAUCUCCAGCUCUGCCCAUUGCACCUUCCCAUUGAGAAGCAGCAUGGCACCCUGGUGGCAGGGGCUGAUACUCAGCCGGGCCAGGGUGCUCUCCUGUUAACCAUAACCAAGCUCACAGGACAUGGGAUGAGCCCACUGUGUGACACAGGGAGCGGGACACAGUCUGUUAAGUCUUGCACAGCCAUGCUCUGCCACGCAGGCAGGCCUUUCCUUGGCCUCCCUCUCCCUGUUCGUGCUCAUGUGAACAUCCACCUACGUGGAUAGACUGGGCUUUGGUUCAUUAUUGCUCUGUGAAUUCCUCGAACUUCCGCAUCUGCCCAACCUCCCCCACCCCAUUGUUUUCAUUGUGUUUCACCAAAUGGAAAUUCUAGAGUAAGCAUGUGAGUCCUCUCCCAAACUUGUUCACUGUUGAGAGUGCUAAAAUGCUAACCCCAGAUGCUAACUGAGGGGUAGGGUUACCUUAUCUUUAGAGCACUGCGAAUUGUAUGUUAAGUGGAACUUAAUGAAAAAAUAGUUAAUUGACCAACAUGAAUAUCCCCUGAACAGAAUCUCCCCUGAACAGAAUCCUACAAUGAAACUAAGGGAGAUAAAUAAAGCUGUUUACCUGAAAGCUCUCUCUAAUCAAGAUCCUUUGAAAUUUAUAAAACAUGGUCAAUAUUUGCACUGGACUUUGUAAAAAUAAAGCUUGAUAAGAGAAGAGUUUGAAGUGAAAUGCUGCCACUUUCUAUGCAAUAUUUGAUUUAAAUUUAAUUCCUAGAAACCUCAGAUGAAUGUGGUUCAUGUAUCAAAGCACUCAGCAUUAUUUAUCGCGGCCUUAAAUACACAGUGAGCUUACAUGUGAAUGAAUACAUAUAUUAUGUAUCUCUCUCUAUAUAUAUACUAUAUAGAUAAUAUAGUAUAUAUAUAUAUAUAGUGUAUAUAUACACUAUAUAUAUCGUGUAUACAUAUACUAUCUAUAUAGUAUAUAUGUAUAUGGUAUAUAUAUCUAUCUAUAGAUAGAUAGAUAGAUAUACUUAAAAAAACCCCAUUCCCUUAAGAGCAGUUAAGGGACACCAUAUAUCAAAUUUCUUGGCACGUUGUGAAUAUUAAUAUCCCCAAAGUGUCAAUGUCAAAUGAUUUGACUUGAAAUCACUAAGCUUGGUAAUCUCACUAUUUUUAAACAAGGCCUAACAUCUUUUAAUCUUGAAUACCAGCAAGUUCUCAGACUUCAGUUGUUUAUUUUCUCUUUUCUUUCCUUUAAAAAAUUCUGACAAGCUCUUUUCCUUGACACAAAGAAAGCGUAUAAAUUUUAUUUUGGUUUGAACAACAGAAAUUUGCCUCUCAGAAUUCUGGAGAUUGGAAAGUCUAAGGACUAAGCUGCUGGCCAAUUUAGUUCUUAGUGAGGACUCUCUUCCUGGCUUGUAGAUGGCUGCCUUCUCACUGCAUCCUCAGAGAGAGAGAGAGAGAGGGCUCUUGUGUCUCUUCCUUUCUCAUAAAGCGUCAGCUCUCUUGUAUUAGGGUCCCACCCAUAAUUACCCCCUUAUAUGCCCCAUCUACAAAUAGAGUCACAUUGUGGGUUAGAGCUUGGCAGUGAAUAAUUAUGGAGGUUAUUGUUGGCUUUAGAAUUUCGUGGUAGAAACAAUAAAUUGCCUUUGUGUUUACGUUUUAUUUUAUUUUUUUAACAUUAACAUGUAUUUGCAACAAUGAAAACAGCAGGUGAAUACAUUCUGGGUAGGGGAAAAAGUUAGAGGAGUGCUAUCCAGAAGUUAUAUUUCCUAGGAAUAUGGGGAAUAAAACAUUCAAUAUUGGUGGUUCUAAUAGAUGAAUUAAAUUUAAUUUGAUGUGGAGUGGCCAUGUCCCCUGUCUCGGGAUGCCGUGUGAAGCCUGGCUCUUGUGACAGCUGUUUAGAUUUGCUGAAAGAUGUUUUAAGUGUCCUAGGAAAGAGGUUUCCAUUCAUUCUAGAACUGAUAGUUUUCUCUUAAAGUGUUAAUUUACAUUUUAAUGUUGAUGUGGUAUCCAUCUCAGGUUAAUGUUUGGCACUAGGUAAUUGAAUUUUUAAAAAUCUCAUUUUAUUUUCUGUCUGCUUUUGGGAGAGAGAAGUGGUUAGGUUUUUAUUACAGGAAGGAUUUUUCUCUUUCUCUAUUAUAAUACCUGAAAGCAAAUAUAUAUAAGCUAUACAUGAAGUCAUUACAAUUCUUUUUUCUCAUUUUAUUUUCACUUUUGGGAAAGAUUGCUGCCAAUAUUUGUGAGAUCUCUUUUCAGUUCUAUCUUUUACUUCUGCAUGUCCGUUAUCUUAGCCAUGCAAUGUUUAGUUUGAGGCAGUUUCACCCAAGGGACAUACCUUAGAAUAGACUCUCAUGGCCAGUAAUGAAUGACUGAUGGAGGGAACAGCAGUUUAUAGGUUUUUUGUUGUUUUUAAGGAGAAAAAUUAACACCCUUCAUCAAACCUCCUCUUUCUUCCUUCUCUCCUCCCCUCCAUCUCACCCUGCCUCCCCUUGGGAUCUUACUCCUGUGAUUAGUUUGGGUUCCACACAAAGAAAGAUUUAUUACUUUAAUGUCUUUGUGAUUUAGUUUUAUGUGAUCUUCCUAGGGACACCAGGGAGUACACGCUCCCCUUUCUGAAUAUGUUGUAAGCUCCUUUGAGGCAAAAAUGAAUGUUCCUGUGUUACAAGAACAGAGCAGCCCUUAUCAUCUUCUCGAAUCUUAUCUUUCUGAGUUAAACAUUUGGCAUCAGUGACGAAGUAAGACCAGACAUUGAGGAUGAGACGUCAAAUCCAAGUUUGUAGAAAACACACAGUUGAUGCAUCUCACAUCUCUCAAAUUCUUCUCUGUGGACUCUAUGCUUACUGUUCCUGAAGAUGU
rnacentral:lncRNA from 10 species